rnacentral:rRNA from 1 species
UACGUAGGGUGCGAGCGUUAAUCGGAAUUACUGGGCGUAAAGCGUGCGUAGGCGGUUGGCAAAGUCAGCUGUGAAAUCCCCGGGCUCAACCCGGGAACUGCGUCCGAUACUGGAAGGCUUGAAUCCGGGAGAGGGAUGCGGAAUUCCAGGUGUAGCGGUGAAAUGCGUAGAUAUCUGGAGGAACACCGGUGGCGAAGGCGGCAUCCUGGACCGGCAUUGACGCUGAGGCGCGAAAGCCAGGGGAGCAAACGGG